AGAGUUUGAUCCUGGCUCAGAUUGAACGCUGGCGGCAUGCUUUACACAUGCAAGUCGAACGGUAACAGGCCUUCGGGCGCUGACGAGUGGCGAACGGGUGAGUAAUGCAUCGGAACGUGCCCAGUCGUGGGGGAUAACGCAGCGAAAGCUGUGCUAAUACCGCAUACGAUCUAUGGAUGAAAGCGGGGGACCGUAAGGCCUCGCGCGAUUGGAGCGGCCGAUGUCAGAUUAGCUAGUUGGUGGGGUAAAGGCCUACCAAGGCGACGAUCUGUAGCUGGUCUGAGAGGACGACCAGCCACACUGGGACUGAGACACGGCCCAGACUCCUACGGGAGGCAGCAGUGGGGAAUUUUGGACAAUGGGCGCAAGCCUGAUCCAGCAAUGCCGCGUGCAGGAAGAAGGCCUUCGGGUUGUAAACUGCUUUUGUACGGAGCGAAAAGGCUCUCUCUAAUACAGGGGGCUCAUGACGGUACCGUAAGAAUAAGCACCGGCUAACUACGUGCCAGCAGCCGCGGUAAUACGUAGGGUGCAAGCGUUAAUCGGAAUUACUGGGCGUAAAGCGUGCGCAGGCGGUUGUGUAAGACAGGCGUGAAAUCCCCGGGCUCAACCUGGGAAUGGCGCUUGUGACUGCACAGCUGGAGUGCGGCAGAGGGGGAUGGAAUUCCGCGUGUAGCAGUGAAAUGCGUAGAUAUGCGGAGGAACACCGAUGGCGAAGGCAAU
rnacentral:rRNA from 1 species